UUACGUCAAUAUUUUUAAGUUGAAUAUGAUAAUUGAGUCACCGUAUCUCAGCAUUUUUAAGUUAAACACAGUGAUUAAGCCACUGUGUUCAUAUUUAUAUUUUAAUCCCUUUUUUUUAACAUAGGGAUGAUAAGAAAUACAGAAAAAAAAUACGGUGAUUCAAUUACCGUGUUCAACUUUAAAAACGUUACUUAUGCACUCGCGUAGUAAAGAGAAGCUAUUUAUGCAAAUAUAAAUUUAUUAUGACCAUUUGUAGAAAAAGGUUUUGAGGGAGCUAACGCUAGAAAGGCCCAAAUAUAUUUAUUUAUAUUUUAAAAAAUAUAUAAUUUAAUAUUAUUUUUAUUUUUUUAUAAAUUAUAUAAUUACAGUGACAAUUUAUGCUGGAAAAUGAUGUAAAU
rnacentral:lncRNA from 1 species